UACGAAGGGGGCUAGCGUUGCUCGGAAUCACUGGGCGUAAAGGGUGCGUAGGCGGGUCUUUAAGUCAGAGGUGAAAUCCUGGAGCUCAACUCCAGAACUGCCUUUGAUACUGAAGAUCUUGAGUUCGGGAGAGGUGAGUGGAACUGCGAGUGUAGCGGUGAAAUGCGUAGAUAUCUGGAGGAACACCGGUGGCGAAGGCGGCAUCCUGGACCAAUACUGACGCUGAGGAGCGAAAGCCAGGGGAGCAAACGGG
rnacentral:rRNA from 1 species